AUUGAACGCUGGCGGCAUGCUUUACACAUGCAAGUCGAACGGUAACAGGUCUUCAGAUGCUGACGAGUGGCGAACGGGUGAGUAAUGCAUCGGAACGUGCCCAGUCGUGGGGGAUAACGCAGCGAAAGCUGUGCUAAUCCCGCAUACGAUCUAUGGAUGAAAGCGGGGGACCGUAAGGCCUCGCGCGAUUUGAGCGGCCGAUGUCAGAUUGGCUUGCUGGUGGGGUAAAGGCCCACCAAGGCGACGAUCUGUAGCUGGUCGGCGAGGACGACCAGCCAAGCUGGGACUGAGACACUGCCGAGACGACUACGGGAGGCAGCAGGGGGGAAUUUUGGACAAUGGGCGCAAGCCUGAUCCAGCAAUGCCGCGUGCAGGAAGAAGGCCUGCGGGUUGUAAACUGCUUUUGUACGGAACGAAACGGUCUGGGUUAAUACCCUGGGCUAAUGACGGUACCGUAAGAAUAAGCACCGGCUAACUACGUGCCAGCAGCCGCCGUAA
rnacentral:rRNA from 1 species